rnacentral:rRNA from 1 species
GACGAACGCUGGCGGCGUGCUUAACACAUGCAAGUCGAGCGGUAAGGCCCUUUUGGGGGUACACGAGCGGCGAACGGGUGAGUAACACGUGGGUGACCUGCCCUCAGCUCUGGGAUAAGCCUGGGAAACUGGGUCUAAUACUGGAUAUGACCUUUCCUCGCAUGGGGGUUGGGGUGGAAAGUUUUUCGGCUGGGGAGUGGGCCCGCGGCCUAUCAGCUUGUUGGUGGGGUGAUGGCCUACCAAGGCGACGACGGGUAGCCGGCCUGAGAGGGCGACCGGCCACACUGGGACUGAGACACGGCCCAGACUCCUACGGGAGGGCAGCAGUGGGGAAUAUUGCGCAAUGGGCGGAAGCCUGACGCAGCGACGCCGCGUGGGGGAUGACGGCCUUCGGUUGUUAACCGUA